rnacentral:rRNA from 1 species
UACGUAGGGUGCGAGCGUUGUCCGGAAUUAUUGGGCGUAAAGAGCUCGUAGGCGGUUUGUCGCGUCUGCCGUGAAAGUCCGGGGCUCAACUCCGGAUCUGCGGUGGGUACGGGCAGACUAGAGUGAUGUAGGGGAGACUGGAAUUCCUGGUGUAGCGGUGAAAUGCGCAGAUAUCAGGAGGAACACCGGUGGCGAAGGCGGGUCUCUGGGCCGAUACUGACGCUGAGGAGCGAAAGCGUGGGGGAGCGAACAGG